AGUCUGACUCUGGCAGUUGUGCCUAAACCUUCUAUUUUAUUUUCUGAAGCCUUCUAUUUUUCUUCUUAACCAGCCUGGGGGACUAAAGAUUCCCAGGAUAGCCAGUGACUUGCCUUGAAGUUGGAGUCAGAGAGCUGCACAGGCUCUUACCUGAAUGCUAAUGAAAGCUGAAAAUAGUUAAACGAAGUCUCAAGUCCUUUGCUUGCUGAAGAUGAAUCCUGAACAGAGUAAGUGCAGGGUGGCCGAGCAGCAGCUGUCCUUAUGGCAACUGAAGGUAGAGCAGGAGAAACGCUAAUCCCCUGCGCAGCCUUGUCACCAAGAGGAUUAGGCAGGCAUUUAUCGAUCCCAAGCAAGCAGCCGAGAGGCUACAACCAGGCAGGAGGAGCAGCAGCCCCCAUGGCCAUGCUCAGCUUGCUUGCAGGUCGCAGCUGAGCUCUCCUGGCAGCCUCCUGCCUGCAGCACCGUGCUGGGUUGGGCUGCUUUGUCGGGGUCCCCAUGGGGAAGCGGCGCAGCCCGCCGGUGCUGUGGUGGAGGCAGCUCCUGGGUACUGGGUGCUGGUGGCUCCUGUCGCUCUCCAGGACAGCUCUAGAGGGGUUGCGGUGGCUCUGGAGGCUGGCGUGGUACCUGCUGAUCUGCUACAAGAGCUGCUGGGACUUUGCCUUCCAGUUCACAGAGGAGCUCGGCUCGGUGCUGCUGCUGAGGCUGCAAAACAGCAGCGAGAGGAGCGAGGAGGAUGAUGAGGAGGAAGACAGGGCCUCUAAAGCUGCGCUGGAACCUGAGGGCACAGGUGGGUAAUGGGGAAAUGUCUGGGGUGGGCAGGAGGGUCCCUGGUGCUGGAUGGGACAGGGUGGGCCCUGGUGGAGCAGAGCUGUGGUGCCAGGGCAGCGGUGGAGCUGCAGCGGCUGCGUGAGGCCAGCGAGGCCGCGCUGGGCAGGCUGGAGGCGCUGGAGGCCGAUGUCCGCUUCCUCUGCACCGAGCUGGGGGCUGAGAAACUGCUGUGGAGCAGCCGGUUCCUGGAGCUGCUGCGGGAGCAGCAAGGCCUACGCCAGCGGCUGCAGGAGCUGCCAUGGGACCGUGGGGACAGCCCCGAGGUGCCCGGAGAUGUGGAGGAGCCAAACUGCCAGCGGGAGCGAGGGAGAGGGCCCAGCAGGUAUGAGUGGGGACUCCGGGUCAUGGAGAUGGUGUUUUGGGGAAGAACAAGGCCCCCACAGCGUGGCUGCCACCCCGAGGCACCCUCAGUAACCCCUGUGCUGCUCCCAGUCCCUGCACUGGUGGCUGGGCACCACUGGGAGCCUGGCUCGGUGUUCCCACAGCACCAGCUCACUCCUGUGCUCUCUUAAAUGACAGCAGGGGAUGGAGCAGCCCUGAGGGCCCAUCCUAUUCCCAGGCAGCUUUUUGGGGCCAGGGGUCCGUGACUGAAUACCUUCGGGGUCUGCUCAGCACUGGGGGCCCUGCCCAGACACCCCAGCAGAGCCAGGACAGCGCCGUCCCCUCGGGUUCCCAUGUCCCUGUACGCACCCAUGGCAUCAGCCUCCACCCCACAACACAUGGUGCCAGCCGGGCCCUGCCCAGCCCUGCCCUGCCCAUUUAGCAGAACUGCACCCAUUUCCCAAAAACAUGGAAAUGCCAGGAGGCUGCUCCUCACCCUAGCAUCGGGACGGUGCUUUGGGGACAGGACGGUGCCCUGGCCACGUGCGGCUCCUGCUGCACCCACCGCAGCCAGCACCAGCAAGGAAAUUGGGUGCUGAGCACCACCCCAGGCCGGGCACUGCCUCCUGCUCUGCCCCAGGGCACGUCCCCACUGUUCCCACAUCCAUGGCUGAAUGUGACUGCGGACGGGGUAGGUGCUCCCCGGGGAGCCCAGCUCAGAGCGUCUCCCUCAUCUGUUGCAACUCACUGGAAGCCUCCAGGAACAAGGAGCCCGAUCUCCAAAAGCCCCCACCGGCGCCUUUCACACGCUGAAGAUGCUGGAACAACAGAGGGAUUGCAAAAGCCCAGCACUGCCCCGUUUACUUCCUCCUUGGACAAAUCCAGCGGCUCCGUCAGCGUCCCCCACGCGUGUUGCAACCCAGCCGGGGCCCUGCUGGAAGGGACCCAGCGCCCAGGGAGGGGCCGAGGGGCUCAGCCCAGGGGUGGGACGAGCUUCUUGGGGGUGAGAUGAGAUAUUGGGGUGGGACAGGGCACUGCGGGGCUCAAUCCUGAGUACUGCUGAGCUGCACCGAUGCCAACCCACCUCCACCCCUUCAGCCUGAGACAGGGGAGAGGAUCCCCACUGCUCCCCCCCAGCCUCUCUUCCACCCCUAAUAAAGGCAGCAGCCUCCUG